rnacentral:lncRNA from 1 species
UGGUCAGAGCGCCCAGAGAAGAACUGGACCGGCCGCCAUGUUGGAGCCCUGGAGCUGCGGCGAGCCGAGGUUUCGAGGGGCUCGUGGAGCCGAAAGGUGGCAUGGUGUCAGACCCCUGCUCCCACCACUGAAUUUUCGUUCGGUCGUGAAUUGCAAAGGGCCUCAAAGAAAUCCUUUGCUAGAUAAUGUGAUCGCGAAGGGUUGUGGAGCUUGGCCCUGAAACUGACAAAGGAAGGAUCUACCAAAAGAAGUUAGCACCUAACCUUUCUUACCCCACCAGCGAACGUAAACGACAUUGAAAAGGGACUGCAAGUGAGCAGUCUUUCUCGACUAACGCUAAAUGAACUGUGCUAAAAUACUGCGUAUAUUCGAAGUUGAUAACUGUGGAAAACUUCCCUUUUCUUUUGUUACCUAUAUUGUGCAAAAUAAUGUGUUUUGUUGUGACAUCUUCGUGCAGAUAACGUUAGUUAACACAUCAUCCCCUUCCCUUAACCACUUGGUACCCUUACCGAUGAAAAUACAUUCAGAAUACUUAAAGAACUUUUGAGCCUAUUUGCUCAGCAUCUCAA